AUUGAACGCUGGCGGCAGGCCUAACACAUGCAAGUCGAGCGGAUGAAGGGAGCUUGCUCCUGGCUUCAGCGGCGGACGGGUGAGUAAUGCCUAGGAAUCUGCCUGGUAGUGGGGGAUAACGUCCGGAAACGGGCGCUAAUACCGCAUACGUCCUGAGGGAGAAAGUGGGGGAUCUUCGGACCUCACGCUAUCAGAUGAGCCUAGGUCGGAUUAGCUAGUUGGUGGGGUAAAGGCCUACCAAGGCGACGAUCCGUAACUGGUCUGAGAGGAUGAUCAGUCACACUGGAACUGAGACACGGUCCAGACUCCUACGGGAGGCAGCAGUGGGGAAUAUUGGACCAUGGGCGAAAGCCUGAUCCAGCCAUGCCGCGUGUGUGAAGAAGGUCUUCGGAUUGUAAAGCACUUUAAGUUGGGAGGAAGGGCAGUAAGUUAAUACCUUGCUGUUUUGACGUUACCAACAGAAUAAGCACCGGCUAACUUCGUG
rnacentral:rRNA from 1 species